rnacentral:rRNA from 1 species
AGCAGCCGCGGUAAUUCCAGCUCCAAUAGCGUAUAUUAAAGUUGUUGCAGUUAAAAAGCUCGUAGUUGAAUUUCGGGGUCAGUAGGCUGGUCGUGCCACAGGUAUGUACUGGUCUUACUGAUUCCUCCUUCCUGAUGAACCGUAAUGCCAUUAAUUUGGUGUUGCGGGGAAUCUGGACUGUUACUUUGAAAAAAUUAGAGUGUUUAAAGCAGGCUCACGCUUGAAUACAUUAGCAUGGAAUAAUGAAAUAGGACGUUUGAUUCUAUUUUGUUGGUUUCUAGGAUCGACGUAAUGAUUAAUAGGGAUAGUUGGGGGCAUUAGUAUUCAAUUGUCAGAGGUGAAAUUCUUGGAUUUAUUGAAGACUAACUACUGCGAAAGCAUUUGCCAAGGAUGUUUUCAUUAAUCAAGAACGAAAGUUAGGGGAUCGAAGACGAUCAGAUACCGUCGUAGUCUUAACCAUAAACUAUGCCGACUAGGGAUCGGAUGAUGUUAAUUUUUAAUGA